GUUGAUGCAAAUCACCUUGAAAAUCAAAGGCAGGGCUGGUCAUAGCCCUCCAUAUGCUCUUUAUUUGGCCCAUAAAUAAACCAGACUUCACAUGAGGACUGGGCAGCGCUGAGUCUGUGAAUGUCUCCUCUCUUUUCAUCCCAAGCUUUAGGUAAAUGGAUCUUUUUGGAUCCACAUAUAUUUCAUGAGAAUAGCCCGUCAGCAAGCAGAAAGGCUGGAUUAAUGUAGAGGAGCACAAAGAACUUAUUCAGAAAUGAAUUUUAAAAAAUGAAUCCGUUAUGGAGAAAUAAGCUGACAUACGUUUAGGACAAACGGCAUAGAAAUCACAGGUGAAACAUUUAAAAGUAUUUGUAUUCCUUUUACUUCUUUGCAUUUCCCCCGUUUAUACAAGAAUGUAUUUUAUUGGAAUAUUAUACAAACAUAAUAAUGCAGAGUUGUGCUGUUUAAGAAAAAUUAUGCAGAAAUUCCAAAAUGUAUAUAUUGUGGAGCCACCUUUUGUUUUGAGGGGUGUCUCAACCAGGUUUACACAUUUGGAGACUGACAUUGUCUUUUUUUCUGAAAUAGCUCAGACUCUGUAAGAUUGCAUAAUCUCCCUUCCAAUUUACAAGUGCACUAUUGUGUUGGUCCUUCACAUAAAAUCCCAAUAAAAUACAUUGCAGUUUAUGACCUGACAAUAUGUGAUACAAGGGGGAUGAAAACUUUUGCAGGGCCCCAUGUAUGCACAUACAACAUUUACAUAAAAUUCAAAAUACCAGUGUUAAAUGUAAAGUCAUACAUUUCUUGAGACAAUGUCACACAGUAUUGACAUUAACACAAUAUUGAUUUUAUUACCUCUAUAUGUUGAU